rnacentral:rRNA from 1 species
UACGAAGGGUGCAAGCGUUACUCGGAAUUACUGGGCGUAAAGGGUGCGUAGGCGGCUCGUUAAGUCUGUCGUGAAAUCCCCGGGCUCAACCUGGGAAUGGCGAUGGAUACUGGCGAGCUAGAGUGUGUCAGAGGAUGGUGGAAUUCCCGGUGUAGCGGUGAAAUGCGUAGAGAUCGGGAGGAACAUCAGUGGCGAAGGCGGCCAUCUGGGACAACACUGACGCUGAAGCACGAAAGCGUGGGGAGCAAACAGG